AUAUCCUUUAGCUAGCAUUAUCAUCAAUUGGAGCUUGAGGGAAGGGGAGAUCUCAGACAUUUUGCAAAUCGUAUUCUGACUUCUUGGAGCCCGAAUUACACUGAUGAAGAGAAGAAGGUGAAGAACCAGGAUCUGGCUGAGAAAUUACAUGCCAAGGUACAGGAGCAAAUAUCUCAGUCUCAGGUCGGUUCUAGCACUCUGGUCCGGCUAAGUAGAGAGGAGGACACCAUCAUUGAGACGAUCAUUAGACCGAGUAGGAAGAAUAGAUACUAGUGGAGAGGAUCCGAGCAGAGGCCGCACGAGUCUAGUAGCACCUACGAGUCUGCAGCACCACCAGGAACACCAGGAAGCAGUUCAUAUCAAGACUCGAUGGAGCAGCGGAUGAAAGCGAUUGAAGAUUGACAGUCGUAGCAAACAACAUAUCAGCGGAUUGCUGAGGAAGAACGGAGGCGUCGGGAGUAGCAAGAAUUAGAGUUCACACAGUUCAUGUCGACUCAGUCUCAGAAGGCUCAGGAGGCAUAUAGGAGACGAUUUAUGGCAGAUCGGGCCGGUACUUCUAGACAAGGUGGAGCUGAUGAUGAGGAUGAUGAUGAUCAGGAGGACUGAUUUGUUUUUUUACCUUUGAAAACAAUGAAUGAGUGUGUUGUAUAAACAAUAUUUAUCAUGGUGUGUAUUGUAUAAACAACGUUUAUUAUGUUGGGAUAUUUUAAUUAAAUUAUAUGUGUUAUAUA